rnacentral:rRNA from 1 species
CAGCCGAUAAAAAAAGGAAAACCGAUCCCGGUCCCGAAUUUCUUCCCCAACCUCCCCACUCCCUGCAUCUCCGUCCCGCAACCGCGGUCGCGCCCACUCCCCGGACCUCCCUGCCGCUGCGCGCCAUCCCCCGGCCCCGCCCCGCCCCGUCUCCCCUGCCUUCAUCCCCGACACCAUCCCGGACCUUCGUCUGAAGCAUCCGUCACAUCCAGAUCCACCCGCCGGCGACGCCCACCGCCGGCACCCCUCUACCCACUACCUUCCCGGCGGCUCCGCCUGCGUACCACCGCCGGCGCGCCCCUGUGCCCAGUCGCUGUUGCUGCCUCCCCACCCGCGCCCACCUCCUGGCACCCAUGGCCGCCAUCGCCAAGACCUUCCCUCCCCAACGAGGCUACACCUAGCCAGAGGCCUGCUGUUCUCCAACGCCUGGACUGACGCAGUCAACCGUGCGCCGGCAACGCGCAACCGGUCACCAUGGAACCCGCGUGCAGGCAUUCGUCCAUGGUUGAUAGCCUCAACCAUGGCGGUCCAUCCCCACAUGCCGCCGCUGGCCGUUGCCGUCCCUGACCACCAGACAAGCACCGCCGCCCCUGCAUCUCCGGCCACAUCGACCUUCUCAAGAGGGCUACCUUGACCUUCCCGGGGAAGGUUCAUCCAUGGAGCGGCCGCUGCCGCCACUCCACUCCCGCGCUGUGCCUGGCUUGCCGCAAGCGUCCGCCCCCCAUCACCAGUGCGCUGCCACCGCAUGGAGCUUCCAGCGCCAAGAUUCCCUUGUGCGCCAUCAGCUACCACCUAGGUUGCGUGGCUACUUCCCACCCCGUUAUGCUUCAGAUUCUGUAGAGCUUCAGGUUCAGAGCUUUUCACUUCUGAAAUUCAGUAAGUUGCCUUGGGUGAAUGCUGCGUCUGGUUCAGUUGCAAGGAGUCCUCUGUUUUGCUGUUGUUGUCUGUCUACUUCUGCUUUAUAGUUUAAUUUGAGCCAUUAUAGAACUGAUGGAGACUAGUAAUGGAUCAGCCAUACUUCCUCUCGGUAUGUAGUUUGUUUAGUCUAGUAUGUUGUUUUGUGCAGGUGAAGGGAAGGACUACCUGAGCGCUACCAGCAGUACAAGGAGUUUAGGGCCUAUUCGGUUUGGAGGAUUUUCAUAGGAAACACAUAGGAACAAGGAUUCCAGAGGAAAAUUUCCUAUAGAUGCAUUCGGUUUGUAGGAAAUGUGUACAGAAAUAUCGUAGGAAUACUAUUCAUUUCCUCUGUUUUUGGAGGAAAUUAUACAUCCACUCAAAGCUCAUUUUACGCGUAGGAACGAGGCGAGUCAAAUCCUUAAGAUGGCAAGUGCCAUGCUAUAAAGUUCCUAUAAUAGUUCUAAUUCCUACAUUAUGAAAUCCUCCAAACCGAAUGAGCCCUUAGAAGGCAAGAGAUGGGUCAAUAGAUGAUCCCUACUUUGCAGCAAUGUGAUGUACGUGUGGAGGAAAGGUCAAUCAAAA